CCCCAGUGAUAAGAGGCACCGCCAGGCAGCAGUCGAAGUCCCUCGUCCUCACGUGGUUCACCUGGACAAAGAUGGAGACAAAAGAUACUCAGGAUCCUGUCGUAGGGUCUGAGCCCGGCUCGGUCAGCUGGUCCAUCGGGUCUGAUCAUGUUGACGUAAACCCCCUUUUCCAAGAAGCCAUCUGACACACUGAAGCCGAAGUCAUCGCUUUCAGGGUCCUUUAUCACUGUUACCUACAGAAGGAAGCACAAGGAUGCCAGGUGUUAUCAACAGCAGAUGAAGUCGGCCAGAACGCUGCACAGUCUGUGUGCUGCUGUCAUCAGACAGCUCAGGUCAGGAAGUGAGAAUGGUAUCAUCCACUCUCCGCUAUGGAAGAUACUAUAGGCCAUACAUGAAAGCUCCAGAGGCGUUGGUGACAAAAUCCCCUGCAUCUCCUCCUUGAUCCGACGAGACUCCCACGUCCGCUCUGAUACCCUCAACGAGGCCUUGGGCUUGGGCUCGUGGAGGAGGAGAGGAUUCUGGUUAUCUUGGUGCAGGAGCUUGGAGAUGCACACAUCUGCCUCUAACCUUGAUGCAGGCAGGCCUCCUCGUGCAGAUGGGCCCCCUGGUGGAGCAGGUUUCCCUGC